rnacentral:rRNA from 1 species
AAUUCGAUUAGUUUGAUCAUGGCUCAGAUUGAACGCUGGCGGCAUGCCUAACACAUGCAAGUCGAACGGCAGCACAGCUUAAGCUUGCUUAAGUGGGUGGCGAGUGGCGGACGGGUGAGUAAUGCAUCGGGACCUACCUGAACGUGGGGGAUAACGUAGGGAAACUUACGCUAAUACCGCAUACGUCCUACGGGAGAAAGCGGGGGACCUUCGGGCCUCGCGCGGUCAGACGGACCGAUGUUCGAUUAGCUAGUUGGUAAGGUAAUGGCUUACCAAGGCGACGAUCGAUAGCUGGUCUGAGAGGAUGAUCAGCCACACUGGAACUGAGACACGGUCCAGACUCCUACGGG